rnacentral:rRNA from 1 species
AUUGAACGCUGGCGGCAGGCUUAACACAUGCAAGUCGAGCGGUAGCACAGGGGAGCUUGCUCCCUGGGUGACGAGCGGCGGACGGGUGAGUCAUGUCUGGGAAACUGCCUGAUGGAGGGGGAUAUCUACUGGAAACGGUAGCUAAUACCGCAUAACGUCGCAAGACCAAAGAGGGGGACCUUCGGGCCUCUUGCCAUCAGAUGUGCCCCGAUGGGAUUGGCUAGUAGGUGGGGUAAUGGCUCACCUAGGCGACGAUCCCUAGCUGGUCUGAGAGGAGGACAAGCCACACGGGAACUGAGACACGGUCCAGACGCCUGCGGGAGGCUGCAGUGUGGAAUAGUGCACAAUGGGCGCAAGCAUGAUGCAGCGAUGGCGCGUGUGUGAAGGAGGCCUUCGGGUUGUGAAGCACUUUCAGCGAGGAGGAAGGUGGUGAGCUUAAUACGUUCAUCAAUUGACGUUACUCGCAGAAGAAGCACCGGCUAACUCCGUG